rnacentral:lncRNA from 1 species
AAGAGACAAGUGAAGAUUGACAUCCAUUAAGGCCAAUGGUAGCUCAAUCUUCUGUUCUCUGACUCCCAAGCUUCCCAUUCUCUUAGGAGGCUGCAUUUGUGGCGCUAAAAAAAGGGAUGGGCGUGGGAGAUUCCAGGACUUGUGCUCGCUGAAGAUACAACUGUUAGUCCAAGGGGUGACCCUGGAGAUCAUUACCAAAAUUUAAAAAUUUCACCACUGGGCACACAUGUUACCCUUCUCGUGAUGGCAUGGCAAAGCUUGAUUUGCAAGAGUUUCUUUUGGAUUGUCCCCAAUGAUUCCCUUUAAAAAUAGGAGCUCCUUCAAGCUCCUGUAUCAGCAGUGCUUGCACCUCAUAGGUGAUGAUCAUGAGGGGGACAAGGAGCCUCUAGACUUAAGAGACAAGUUGCCAGCAUUCUCCAGAUGGAGUGUUUCCCUCCGCAGCACCCCCUGCUGGUCAGUUUGACAAGCAGGUGAACAGAAGUUCUCAAAUACACAAUAGUAGAUUCUAUCAAUCAAGUUUCAUAAAGAGUUCUGAUUCCCAGAGGCUACAGGAUAUCAGCCUCUUUGAAGAGUGACAUGGCCUUUACAGCCAGAAGCCCACAAAAUAGAAUGAAGUAACUGAAUUUUCGGUAGCACUCUGCACAAUUUAUGUGGUGUUGGACUCAUGGGUUUUAAAGAAAGAGACUUGUGAUCCCAUUCUGACAAGCCACAAACUUCAUGGGACGAUGUGUAUCUGUUUAUCAGGGGAAAUAUAAACAAUAAGUGUGAGAGUUUUAGCAGUGAAUGUAUUAAUAUCAUGUUGAAAAUUUUAUCGUUAAGGAGUAAAAGAGAAAAUAGUGUAACUAAUUUUAAGGAAACCUUCAAAAAUUUGGGGGUGCUUUUAUAAAUGCAAGUUCCUGAAUAUGGCCAAAACACAACACCUCAGUGAAUUUAAAAGAGUAGAAGUUUUAAAAGACCCGAUUUUAAAAGAAUGUCUUAAAAUAGCCAAGUAAAUAUUCAAAGAAUUAUAAAGAGAAUAUCAAAGUAAACCAGAAAAUAACUAAUGGAACAAUUUGUAAAAAUAAAAGCCAUAAAUACUGAAAUGUAGAAAGUUCAUUAUUAAAUGGGAAAAAGAGAAAGAGCAGAAGAGAGAGAUAAACUUCUGGUAAGGCAUUUAAAGGAAAUAGAAGAGAAAGAGAAAAGAGAAAAAAAGGCAUAGAGUAUGAGCCAUGAGAACGGAAACAGAAAAGAAAAAAGACUUAUAAUAGAAGAUUAUAUACUCCAAGGCAACAUAUUCACUGAUAAAGAAAUGGAUGUUAUCCCUCAAGAAUAAACUAUCAAAAUUGACUUUCAAAAAAUAGAAAACUUCAGUGAACUAAUAGAAAUAUCAGAAAUGAAAUUAAACAUCUACCAUUUGAAAAGUGGACAAGAAUUAUGGCCUCCAGCUCCAUCCGUGUUGCUACAAAGGACAAUAUUUUAUUCUUUUCUACUGCUGUGUAGUAUUCCAUAUGAAUGUAUGUAGCAAGUUUUUUUUUUAUCCAAUGCACCUUUGAUGGGGAUCUGUGUUGAUUCCAUGUCUUUGCUAUUGUGAACAGUGCAGCAAUGAACAUCCUAGUGCAUGUGUCAUUUUGGUAGGAUGAUUCAUUUUCUUUUGGGUAUUUACCUAGUAAUGGCAUUGCUGGGUCUAAUGGCAACUCCGUUUUAAGUUCUCUAAGAAAUUUCCAGACUACUUUCCACAGUGUAAUAAUCCUAAGCAAAUUAAUGCUGUAACAGAAAAUCAAAUAUCACGUUUUCACUCAUAACUGGGAGCUAAGCAUUGACCAUACAUGGACAUAAAUGUGGGAACAAUAGACACUAUGGACUCUAGAGGGUGGAGGGAAAGGGGCUGGGUUAGAAAACUACCUAUCGGGUACUAUGCUCACUACCAGGGUGAUGGGAUCUGUCCGUACUCCAAGACUCAGCAUCAUGCAAUAUUUGCAUGUAACAAAUAUGCACAUGUACCCCCUUUAUCUAAAAGGAAAGUUGAAAUUACAAACUAAAAAGUAGCCAAAAUUAGAUUAUUUUACAUUUCAAUUCUACAUAAGACAAAACCAAACACAUAAUUUUAAUUGUAUUGUUUGGUAAAAGAUGAAAAGAUCCUAAUGCCAAAUCUGGUAAAGAAAUAACAAAAAGAGAGUUACUGACCAUAUUGGCUUAUGAAUACAGAUGCAAAAAUUCUGAAUAAAAUAUUCAGUAGCAUAUGAAAAGAAUGUGAACAUGAACAGUUUGUUUUAGAAAGGCCAGAAUGAGUUUGAUCAGAAGAUCUUUUAGGGUAAUAAAUUAAAGGAGGAAAAAAUUACAUGAGUAUAUAAAUUUCCAUAAAAAGACAAAAAUGAAAUAACAUAAAAUUUACCGUUCAUUCUAAAUAUAAUUUCUAUGAAAGUGGGAAAACAGGAAAGUGCUCUAAGCCUGUAAAGACAGAAUUAAAUGUAAUUUUAAAGGUAAGUGUUUAUAGCUAUUUCAUUAGAAUCAGGAAUGAGACAAGAAUAGAACUAUUAUUAUGGUUAUUUGAUAUUGUUUUCUUAGGUUGUACAUUAUACAAUAAGGCAAGAAACUAAAAACCCAUACAAAUAUUGGCAAAGAAGCAGCAAAUUACUUUGUUUAUAGAUUACAGUAUUACACAUUUAGAAAAUAUAAGAGACUUCGACAGAAAACAAUGUAGUUUACCUCAGGAAAACACUAAUAUUUUACCAGAUGGCAUAGAACAGAAACUGAAAAAAGUGAGAGAAAGACCAUAUUUCUUGAUAAAAAUAUUUAGUAUCACAAAAAUAUUAAUGCUUCCACAAUUGUCUAAAAAACUCCUCCAAUACAAAUCACAAUUGCAAUACUUAGUUGGGGGAAUUGGGGAACUGAAAAAUUAGUUUUUGUUCAUAUAGCUCUUAAGUUUAUAAGAAAUAGGAAAUCAAGAAAAACAUUAGUGAAGGGUGAUUUGCUUUAUUAGAUAUUAAUAUUUACCACAAAACAUUGAAAUAGCAUGAGAAAAGACUAAAACAAAUACAGAAAUAGCUACAAAAAUAUAUAAAAAUGUUACAUGACAAAAUAGACAUUUAUGUUUCAGUAGCAGAGUGACUUAUUUAAUAAAUAGCACUAAUGUAAUUAGCCAGCCAUAAGGUGAAUAAAUAUAAAAGAAUGUUAAUGCAUGCUAUUCAAAAAUAUAUUGCAAAUAGAAUGAAGUUUGAAAUGUCAAAAGUAAAAACUCACUGUAAGACAAAAUGAAAAAAACAACUUGUAUGAUCUUGGAUUAGGAAAAAUCUUCCUAAUUAUUAACAAAAAAACCCCCAAAGCCUCAGGAAUCAUAGUGAAAAAGAUAAUAUAUUUGAUUACAUGAAAAUUAAAAAUUGCUUCAUGUGAAAAUCUAUCAAUAAAAUAGAAAAUAAUUCUCAAUUGGGCAACAAAUUUGUAGCAUACACCUUGUGUUAGUAUCCCUCAUAUCCAAAACACAUAGAGAAUUUUAAGAAUGACACAAAAUCCCAGUGUAAAAAUGGUCAAACAAUAUAAACAGUUCAGAAGUAAACCCAAAAUGACUGAUAAUCAUAUGAAAAUAUAUGUUGAAUAUCACUAGUCAGGGAAAUGCAAAUUAAAUCUACAAUAAGAUGCCACUUUUCACCCACCAGUUUGGCAGAAAUUAGAAGAAGGAUAACAUUCAGUGCUGGUGAGAAUGUGGGAAACAAUUCUUCCACAAAUUGCUAAUGGAAAUAAUACUGUGGAAUCCUUUGGGAAGGUAGUCUGGCAGUGCCUACUUAGGAUAAGAGAAGCUCUUACUUGGACGUAUCCCUUUUGGAAACCAAUUGCAUUGAGAAAAGUUUCCAGGAUGUAAAGACAUGUAUACAAGGAUGUUUACUGAAGCAUUGUUUGUAAUGGCAAAGAAGUAUGAACAAUUUGAACCCAACAGGAGGAGAAUGACUGACUAGCAUUGCAUUGACUCUAUGGAACACCACAGUUACUAAAACGAAAACGUUAGUGCUGUAUUGAUUCACUCAAAGCAAUGUCCAUAUGUCAAAGGCAAAUUAAAAAGUGAUGACAGUUUGUGUGUUAAUAUGGGCAAGGACACUGAUUACCCCAAAGGGUAGGAAUGGAGGAGAGGAGGGCAAAGGAGGUGAGAGGUUAUUAACUUCUUAAAAUCAUAUUGGAUUUUUCCACUUGUAUAAUCAGCAUAUAUUAUCUUUCUGAUUAAAAACCAAGAAAGAAAAAAUUAAUUUUUUUCUAGAGAAAUUCUCCUGCAUCUCACCUUAAAAAGGUCUUCUUCAAAAUUGCAUCGAUUUUCAAUACUGAAAGAAACGUGGUAUACUAUGGAAUCAGACUAGGUGAAUGUAUUUCCAAGUAAAUUGCAGCAUAUUUCAUUCUUUCCAUUUUUUUGGUCAUGUAUGUGUGGCAUGGAACUUUUAUAUUUUAAUAUUUUUGUUUACUGACUCACUUUAUAAAAACUAGCCUUGUUCAAAGCAAUGCAUAUAUGAAGUUACAGCUUGAUGGUGCAGUUACAUUGUUAAAAUACACAUAGUAACUACAAAGUUACUGAAGUAAAAAGAACUAUUUGACCUCAUACAGUUAUUUAGCAUAUCACACUUUGAAGAAAUUGGACCAUGGAUCAAAUAAACUAAGCAUUAAUCUUCCAUCUGAAAUUGUCAGGAAACCUUGAGAUCAAAAGAACAUCCCUGGGAAGGUGUUAGGCUCAGCUUAUUAUUAUGUGGGGGCUCAGCGUCUAUACCCACCUGAAGCUGGGCUGUCCAUGAGGCUUCAGUUCACUAACCAGAUGUGCAUGAAACAGAUACAAAAAGGGGAAGCCUUUAGGGCCAAAAAAUAGACCUAGGUUUGUAUUACUAUUUCAGCUUAAUCGUGUAUACCUUGUGUUUCCUCGGCCAACAAUGGCUAAUUAUGGUAAAUACUAUUUAGAAUUAUGUGCUAUGUACUAAGUGUUUGACAUAUGGUAUCUCAUUUAAACCUUCUGUGAUCCUCUGAAGAGUGUCCUCCAAUUUUUCCCAUUUUAACAGAUGAUAAAACUCACAGAAGGGCCUAUGGUUAUAUAGCUAGUAAAAGUGGCAGAGUCCGUUGAACUUGAAUUCAGAUUGGGGAAUGCUUUAACAGUUGGUAUCCAGCAGCUACAGGACUUAAUAUUUCUCAGUGUUGUUUCCUCAUCUCUAAAUUGAAGAUAUUAAAGCUCACUUUGUAAAAUUGUUCUGAUGAUGACAGUCACUAAUGAGUGAGGUGCUUCCAAACAGUUGACACACAGUAAUUGUGUGCCCCUUCCCUGGUUCCUGAGAAGCAACUUUUAUUUUUUUAUGACAGGGUCUCACUCUGUUGGCCAGGCUAGAGUAGAGUGGUGUGAUCUUGGCUCACUGCAGCCUCAACCUUCUGGGGCUCAAGCCAUCCUCCCAUCUCCAUCUCCUGAGCAUCUAGGAGUAUAGGCAUGUACCACCAUGCACUGCUAAUUUUGUUUAUUUUUUUGUAGAGAUGAGGUCUCACUAUGUUGCACAGGCAGGUCCCAAACUCCUGGCCUCAAGCGAUCCUCCUGCCUUGGCCUCCCAAAAUGCUGGGAUUACAGGUAAAAGACACCAUGCCUGGCCAUGAGAGGUAAUUUUGCUGGUAGACUACUGCCUUGGUUUUUGUUUCUAAAUCACUGUUCUGAUAUCUCAGACACACAACUUUCCCUGUAAAUUGGCCUCCAUUCAGCCCCUGCAGGUGACCCCUGCCACCUCAAAGGGCCCUUAAUCUGUGAGUGUCAGCCUUGUCCUUUUCCUCCCCUUCCCCCUUGAACCCCUUUCCCAAAUUAGUCUUAUGCUUACGGGAAGAGUGUUAACAUGUGGCAUUCAUGCAAGCUGCUCAUUAACGAAGGAGUGUUUUAAAAUACUCACAUUUCCUUUCACCCUAUGAAAGCAGCCAUGGUGUCUGAAUUGGACAGUUCCUCAGGCCCUUUGGACCUGCCUGGCUCCACCAGUCCCUGUCUGUGUGCCUACCUGUUUUUGAGGUCGGAUAAUAACCAUCUGAUACCCGGGCCAGGAGUCCACCAACACCUCCAUGUUGAAGGGGUUCCCGUGAUUGAUGUGAAACAGAG